rnacentral:tRNA from 1 species
CCCCACGUAGCUCAAAGAAUAGAGCACCGCGCCUGCUAAGCCGGAGGUUACGGGUUUGAAUCCCGUCGUGGGGACCC